UACAGAGGUCUCAAGCGUUGUUCGGAUUCAUUGGGCGUAAAGGGUGCGUAGGCGGCGCGGUAAGUCGGGUGUGAAAUCUCGGAGCUUAACUCCGAAACUGCAUUCGAUACUGCCGUGCUUGAGGACUGGAGAGGAGACUGGAAUUUACGGUGUAGCGGUGAAAUGCGUAGAUAUCUGGAGGAAUACCGGUGGCGAAGGCGGCAUCCUGGACCGACAUUGACGCUGAUGAGCGAAAGCUAGGGGAGCAAACGGG
rnacentral:rRNA from 1 species